rnacentral:tRNA from 1 species
GGAGGAUAGAGCUCAGUGGUAGAGCACGUGCUUAGCGCACGAGGUCCUGGGUUCAAUCCCCAGUACCUCCA